rnacentral:rRNA from 1 species
GAUGAACGCUGGCGGCGUGCCUAAUACAUGCAAGUCGAGCGAACGGACGAGAAGCUUGCUUCUCUGAUGUUAGCGGCGCACGGGUGAGUAACACGUGGAUAACCUACCUAUAAGACUGGGAUAACUUCGGGAAACCGGAGCUAAUACCGGAUAAUAUUUUGAACCGCAUGGUUCAAAAGUGAAAGACGGUCUUGCUGUCACUUAUAGAUGGAUCCGCGCUGCAUUAGCUAGUUGGUAAGGUAACGGCUUACCAAGGCAACGAUGCAUAGCCGACCUGAGAGGGUGAUCGGCCACACGGGAACGGAGACACGGUCCAGACUCCUACGGGAGGCAGCAGUAGGGAAUCUUCCGCAAUGGGCGAAAGCCUGACGGAGCAACGCCGCGUGAGUGAUGAAGGUCUUCGGAUCGUAAAACUCUGUUAUUAGGGAAGAACAUAUGUGUAAGUAACUGUGCACAUCUUGACGGUACCUAAUCAGAAAGCCACGGCUAACUACGUG